UCCAUUUCAGCCAGGGCAAGCCACUAGAAAGAUAUUUGGAAACAGCAAGAAAGAAAAGCUCUCUGCCCACUUCAGCUGCAGGAAGGCCUUGACACCCAUGUUGGAUUCCUUGGACACCCAUGUUGGAUUCCUUGACACCCUGAAGUCCUCCCUGGGGAGAAACAACAGAGACCACAUCUACCCUUCCCAUGCAGAAUGGCCUCACUUGGCUUCCAGGGAACCAUCCACGUGGGUCCUGGGCUCAGCUGGAAUCCUGGACCACAGCUCCCUCUAAGCCUGGUAAUUCUGAAUUUCUUAAAAAGCACACUCUGACCUUCACCCCCGAAAUCUUCCUAAUGAUUGUAUGAGUUUAUAAUUUUAUAUGUCAAAU
rnacentral:lncRNA from 1 species